rnacentral:rRNA from 1 species
GCGGAUGAGGGAGCUUGCUCCUGGAUUCAGCGGCGGACGGGUGAGUAAUGCCUAGGAAUCUGCCUGGUAGUGGGGGAUAACGUCCGGAAACGGGCGCUAAUACCGCAUACGUCCUGAGGGAGAAAGUGGGGGAUCUUCGGACCUCACGCUAUCAGAUGAGCCUAGGUCGGAUUACCUAGUUGGUGGGGUAAAGGCCUACCAAGGCGACCAUCCGUAACUGGUCUGACAGGAUGAUCAUUCACACUGGAACUGACACACGGUCCAUACUCCUACGGGAGG